rnacentral:rRNA from 1 species
UAUGAACCGUGCGAACGUUGUUCGGAAUCACUGGGCUUAAAGGGCGCGUAGGCGGGUUUUCAAGUCUGUGGUGAAAGCCUCCAGCUUAACUGGAGAAGUGCCGUGGAUACUGGAGACCUCGAGGAGGGUAGGGGCAUCUGGAACAGCCGGUGGAGCGGUGAAAUGCGUUGAUAUCGGCUGGAACGCCGAUGGCGAAGGCAAGGUGCUGGACCCUCUCUGACGCUGAGGCGCGAAAGCCAGGGGAGCGAACGGG